AAUAUACUUGUUGUCGCCAUUUAAACCCUAUUUUCCUGCCCUAAUAAGUUCAGUCUCUUUUGAGAUAAGUGUUGAGAAUUGAUCCGUGCCUUUUAAAUCCUAAUAUUUUUUUCCCCUGCGUCCUUUCAAGGUACCCUUGUUUUACUAAAUUCUAAUUCCAGGAAAGUGAUGGCAGAGUACGGAAGGGCGCAGGACAAAUUUUAAAGCUCUAAUGGCCGUGCAAAUGUAUGAACGGCGCCUUGCAAAAGGUUGAAAAAAAUUAAGUUUUAACGCGGUAGUGGAGAUAUGGAGUAGGAAUUCGGGAUUCGGCUUUUGGCGUUACUUCUGAAAUUCGGUCCCACACCGAAUUGUGUGCUACGGAAUUGGAUGCAUUGGAAACCAACUGUUAACCUAAUUCCUGUUUGCUGUUCUUUGCCAAUUGGAAGGAAUAAAAAUUGUCCUUUUCUGAGAAAAGACUCAUGAAUCUUAUCUUUAUUUCAACUGGUAUAAAUGCCUGGGAAAAGUAUGUGCUGUGCGCCAUAUUUUCGAAUCGAUUUCAACAGAUGUGUUGGCUACAGUGGCUGAAGCUUUGAAUCUACGCGUUGUGGCCAAGCUACCAGGGUUCCAAACAACUGAUACCAGAAAAGAGUUAAAUCUAAUUCAAUACCACUCUAAGAAGAUUUGGACCUUAAUGGAUGUUGUAAUCAAGAACAUACUAUCAUCCCUAUGAUUGAUCUCAAGUAGAGUUGAGUUAUAGCCAAAAAGGUGUGUAAUUUUGAGGUUUUGGUAGUAUAUUUUUGUUUGAGUGUUUCACUUU